UGCAGGGGGUGCAAACGUUGCUCGGAAUCAUUGGGCGUAAAGCGCACGUAGGCGGUUCGUUAUGUCGGAUGUGAAAGCCCUUGGCUUAACCGAGGAAGUGCAUCCGAAACUGGCGAGCUAGAGUACGAAAGAGGAUCGCGGAAUUCCCGGUGUAGAGGUGAAAUUCGUAGAUAUCAGGAGGAACACCGGUGGCGAAGGCGGUUCUCUGGGCCGUGUUCGUGACGCUGGAGGAGCGAAAGCGUGGGGAGCGAAACAGG
rnacentral:rRNA from 1 species